rnacentral:rRNA from 1 species
GACGAACGCUGGCGGCGUGCUUAACACAUGCAAGUCGAACGGAAAGGCCCUGCUUUUGUGGGGUGCUCGAGUGGCGAACGGGUGAGUAACACGUGAGUAACCUGCCCUUGACUUUGGGAUAACUUCAGGAAACUGGGGCUAAUACCGGAUAGGAGCUCCUGCUGCAUGGUGGGGGUUGGAAAGUUUCGGCGGUUGGGGAUGGACUCGCGGCUUAUCAGCUUGUUUGGGGGGUAGUGGCUUACCAAGGCUUUGACGGGUAGCCGGCCUGAGAGGGUGACCGGCCACAUUGGGACUGAGAUACGGACCAGACUCCUACGGGAGGCAGCAGUGGGGAAUAUUGCACAAUGGGCGGAAGCCUGAUGCAGCAACGCCGCGUGCGGGAUGACGGCCUUCGGGUUGUAAACCGCUUUCGCCUGUGACGAAGCGUGAGUGACGGUAAUGGGUAAAGAAGCACCGGCUAACUACGUG